GAAUUAUUGGAUCAAAACCUAUGAAUGAACUCAAGGCCUUUGAAAAAUAUUUUCAAAUUGAUUUCAAAAUGGUAUUUGGGAGAGGAAUUCCUGAGUCACCUGUUUAGAGCCAGCCUGUCAGUUUCUACAGUGAAGUCUGCUGGGAUUUUUAUUGCUAUUAUGAAGAAUCUAUGGAUCAAUUUAGUGAGAAUUGGCAUUUUAAGAAUAUUG